UUAAAAGGGCUGGGGGUGUAUCUCAGUGAUUAAGCAUCUCUGGCUUCAAUCCCUAGUACCAAAAAAAAAAAAAAGAAAAAAAAAAUACUUGGAGGGAAAAUACCAAGUUGUUGUGGUUAACCCUGGCUGCUGAGAUUACCAAAGAUUUUAUUUCUUUCCUGGUAUUUUUCUGUAUUUUCCAAAUUCUUUAAAAUGGUCAAGUAUCAUUUUUAUAAUCUGAAAAAUUGAUAAGAAAUAUUGUUUAAUAUGCUAACAUUUAUAUUAUUUACCUUUUGAUUUAAAUUAUAUAUGUUAACAAAUAUGCAUUUUGUCUGCCACUCACAUGUCUGUUCAGGAUGAUAAUAUUAAAAAUUGGAAGAUACAUUUAUAUUAAGGUGUUCAAAAACUCUUACAAGACUUACAAUUCUCAUGACCAAGUUCAAUUGACAUUCAAAAUUUGUUUAAUGGUUUAAACAUAAUGUUUAAAUAUUACAAAAGUUGAAUGAAACAUGUAAAACCCAUAAAGUUGGCAUUAUAUCUAUAUAAUAUUUAUUUUUUAGCUGUAGUUGGACACAAUACCUUUAUUUCACUUAUAUUUAUUUUUACGUGGUGCUGAGGAUCAAACCCCCUUGCAUGCAAGGCGAAUGCUCUACCGCUGAGCCACAACUCCAGCCCCAGCAUUAUAUUUUUUCCACAUUUCCAGCUCUUAGUUGACUAAUUCUGAAGAAACUUUCUUUUGUUACAAUUUGGUAGCCACCACCCUACCAAACUAUAUUUUAUUUAAGAAAAUGUAGCUAACAUGUAUCAAAAACCUACAUAACAUAGUCAUCUUACCAGUAUUUUAGACAGCCUCCCUACUUCAAGGUAGCUGCUGUACCAGUAGCAUCACCAUCACCUUGGAGCUGAUUGAAAAUUAAGAAUUUCAGUCUUCACCUCUGCCUUACUGAAUCAGAAAUCUGUAUUUUUCAUAGAAUCUCCAGGUGAUAGAUAUGGACAAUAAAGUUUGAGAAGCACUUUUUACAGACUCCUAUCACCGGCAUCAGCAAAAAUGUUUACCUCCAAAAAUACAAAUUCGUUUCUCCCAGUAUUACAUAGUGAAACAUAUUAUUUGUAGCAAUGAAUUACAGGUGGUGUGUCUAAUCCACAAACACAAGAGUGUAAGAAGCAGGAAUUUUCUUUAUUCUAAUCAUACAUAAAGCUCCCUAUUUUUUGAGGGUUAAAAACCAAGUUUCAGUAAAUACAGGAUCUCUCCUGCUACUUUCCUCUGGGGGAAAAUCUUAAAUUCUUGAAGGUGGAGGAAGGUAAGCAUGUAGUCUUCCUAGGUGAACCAUCCCACUAGCAUUUGCUAAAAUGACAGUCAGGGGCUCCAUGAAAGACAGGACCUCCUUUAGGAGUGAGGGGUAAAACCUUUCAGGGGAAGUAAUACAGCCAAGCUAGCUCUCAGUUUUACAGGGUUAACAGCUGUACCAGAGAAUUAGGAGUUAGGGGUGCACCAGUCUCCAAGUUCAUGGGAAUGAUAAUGCCAGGAGAUGGAAGGCUGGGAGGUUAUGUGGUCAGCAGAAAUGCCAGGUCUGAAUAAAAUAAUAUUAAAAACCUCAGAUGAGAAGGUCAAUUCAGGUAGUGAGGGGCAAACCCAUGUGUAGACUCUCACCAAAGUAACCCAAUAACCUUCACCUUAUUAGCAUAGUAAAAUGCACAGCCCUAGGUGGAGAUUUAAGAUGGUAAGGAGACAGACAACACAUGAAGAAGCACGAUGAAGAGGUGCGCAGGCGCCACUCAAGUCCCACCUCUACAUGUGAUGGCAUCAAGAGACUAAGUUCCUGCCUACCAGUAGAUAUGACAGAAAAGCCACUUCCCUUUGCUAUUUGCUUGUUUUCUGAUUUCUGUCCCCCAUAUGUGGUUUCCCUCCUGGCUUGAUACCAUCGUUAACUAUUAUUACUGACUCCUUAUUGCUGGCACCUCCCUUCUGCUUCACUAUUUCCAUACCAUGUUGGCCUUUAAAGAGAUCUUUGUGGCUAAGACUUCUCCACAACCCUUUGCUAUUCCAUGGGAAAUUAAUUCUAUGAGAUUUAUAUAAGGUCCUAUCUCACAGAUAUUUCUUUAGCCAUUGCUUCUCAGGGGUCUUGCUGACUCCAGGAGGUAUACCUGGGAGGCCAAAUACAAGCCCCCUCUCCUUCUAGAUCCCCAGAUACCUUUAUCUAAGGAUUUUGUGGUUUAUCUUAAUCACUAAGUGAGAGAAAGGUGAGGCCUCUUCACAGGGACUCACUGAAGAGCCCUCUGUCCUGACUCCCCUUCCCACAAGCCAAAGAAUAUCAAGGUUCAGAGUUUUGAAAGUCAAGAGCCUUUUUUCUAUUAUACCAUCCCUGGGCCCAGGGUCUAGCUGCCUGAUGGGGAUGGGGCCAUGGGUUACAAAGAAAUGCAGGGAGGUAAAUUAAUAUUUUUAAAUACCAUGUCACAUGAGUUAUAGGAUAUAAGGAUUUAACACACAGUCAUGUUAAAUGUCCUUUUAGAACAAGAAGGCUAAAAAUAUGAGAUAGAUCCUUUAUCAAGAAAAAUUAGAAUUUUUGGAGGCAAACUGCACAAAACAGCUAGAAAACAAGAAGCAGAAUACCUACAGGAGUAAAGUAGGUUUAAUAGCACCCUUUUGACAGGGCUCAUUGGUGCAUACCUGUAAUCCCAGCAGCUGGGGAGGCUGAGACAGGAGGAUCAUGAAUUCAAAGUCAUCCUCAGCAACAGCGUGUUACUAAGCAACUCAGUGAGACCCUGUCUCUAAAUAAAAUACAAAAUAGGGCUGGGGAUGUUGCUCAAUGGUUGAGUGCCCCUGAGUUCAAUCCCUGGUAUUGGACCACCCCCCUAAAAAAGUAAAGCACCCUAUUUGGGAGCUAUUAGUGGUAAGUCAGAGCAUUUGAUGGAAUAGUUUGAAG
rnacentral:lncRNA from 1 species